CUUGCUUUUGCCAAUGCAUUUGCCUCCAUUUCGACAGGGCUGUGGGCAUUUGCCUGAAGUAGAGAGGAAAGCCUAUCAGCAAGGAACACUAUGCUUUAGCCACAGGCUAUUGGUUUUCCCUCUGCAAUCUAGAACUUGCCAUCUCAAGGCUGAAGCUUUUGAAGAUGUGGAAGAUAAGAGAGCUCCAAAGUUCUAGACAAGACCUGGGAUGGAUGGAAUCUGGGCCCUUGAGUCACUGCUUAGAAGAGAGCUGCCCUGCCCACUGACCAGGAAUUCCUGCACCGGAAGCAUUCUGAACUCUGAAGAAUCCUCACGUAUUUUCAAGCAUUGUGGUUAACUCUUAAAAUAGUCACUCUUCAAAGAUACAUGUUUGCUGUUUUAAAACUUAUUUUUGUGGCAUAAACAGGCCAUUUUUCAACCUUGCAAUUUCUUAGAAAAGAAUCUGGAUUUGUCCCAUUUGAAUGCCUGAUUAAAGU